rnacentral:rRNA from 1 species
AACCCGACUCCAUGAAGCUGGAUUCGCUGUAAUCGCGCAUCAGCCACGGCGCGGUGAAUACGUUCCCGGGCCCUUGUACACACCGCCCGUCAAGCCAUGGAAGCCGGGAGUGCCUGAAGUGCGUGAGCGCAAGCAGCGCCCUAAGGUAAAACCGGUGACUGGGGCUAAGUCGUAACAAGGUAAC